GGCGCUAUAGUGUAGUGGUUAUCACUCGAGAUUCUGAUGAACCCGACUUCUCGAAACCCAGGUUCGAUCCCUGGUAGCGCCU
rnacentral:tRNA from 1 species